rnacentral:rRNA from 1 species
UACAGAGGGGGCAAGCGUUGUUCGGAAUUACUGGGCGUAAAGGGCGCGUAGGCGGCCUGUUAAGUCGAACGUGAAAUCCCUGGGCUCAACCCAGGAACUGCGUCCGAUACUGGCAGGCUUGAAUUCGGGAGAGGGAUGCGGAAUUCCAGGUGUAGCGGUGAAAUGCGUAGAUAUCAGGAGGAAUACCGAUGGCGAAGGCAGCCCCCUGGGUCGAUACUGACGCUCAUGCACGAAAGCGUGGGGAGCAAACAGG